rnacentral:rRNA from 1 species
UACGUAGGGAGCAAGCGUUGUUCGGAUUUACUGGGCGUAAAGGGCGCGUAGGCGGCGCGGUAAGUCACUUGUGAAAUCCCCAAGCUUAACUUGGGAACUGCGUCUGAUACUGGGUGGCUUGAGUUCGGGAGAGGAAUGUGGAAUUCCAGGUGUAGCGGUGAAAUGCGUAGAUAUCUGGAGGAACACCGGUGGCGAAGGCGGCAUUCUGGACCGAAACCGACGCUGAGGCGCGAAAGCCAGGGGAGCAAACGGG